rnacentral:rRNA from 1 species
AUUCACGGACAUAGCACCUUGAAUGUACCUGAUCUCAUCUAACUUCAGAAGCUAAGCAGGGUUUAAAGCUAAGCAUUUAGUACUUGGAUGGGAGAAGUUGGCCAUAGCUAUCUGUAAAAU